rnacentral:rRNA from 1 species
AGAGUUUGAUCCUGGCUCAGAACGAACGCUGGCGGCGUGUUUAAGACAUGCAAGUCGCACGGGACUAUUUGAGUAGCAAUACAAGAAUAGUCUAGUGGCGCACGGGUGAGUAACACGUGAAUUACAUGCCCUGCAGAGGGGGAUAGCCCAGGGAAACUUGGAUUAAUACCCCAUGGUCCCAGCACUUUUUAAAGGUUCCGAAGUCCGGCAGGACGGCGGAGUUUUCAGAAAGUGCUGGGUAAAGGUGGCCUUAUGAAAGUAAGGCUGUCGCUGCAGGAUUGGUUCGCGCCCUAUCAGCUUGUUGGUGAGGUAACGGCUCACCAAGGCUACGACGGGUACCUGGUCUGAGAGGACGAUCAGGCACACUGGAACUGAGACACGGUCCAGACACCUACGGGUGGCAGCAGUCGAGAAUAAUUCACAAUGGGGGCAACCCUGAUGGUGCAACGCCGCGUGGAGGAUGAAGGUCUUCGGAUUGUAAACUCCUGUCAUCCGGGAGUAAGACCUGGCGAUGAAUAGUCGACAGGGUUGAUAGUACCGGAAGAGGAAGGGACGGCUAACUUCGUGCCAGCAGCCGCGGUAAUACGAAGGUCCCGAGCGUUGUUCGGAAUCACUGGGCGUAAAGGGAGCGUANGCGGCGUGGUAAGUCAGAUGUGAAAUCCCGGGGCUCAACCCCGGAACUGCAUCCGAUACUGCCGUGCUAGAGGAUUGGAGAGGUAGCUGGAAUUCACGGUGUAGCAGUGAAAUGCGUAGAUAUCGUGAGGAACACUCGUGGCGAAAGCGAGCUACUGGACAACUCCUGACGCUGAGGCUCGAAGGCCAGGGUAGCGAAAGGGAUUAGAUACCCCUGUAGUCCUGGCAGUAAACGGUGCACGCUUGGUGUGAGGGGAAUCGACCCCCCUUGUGCCGGAGCAAACGCGUUAAGCGUGCCGCCUGGGAAGUACGGUCGCAAGACUAAAACUCAAAGGAAUUGACGGG